rnacentral:tRNA from 1 species
CGACGUUCCGGUCGGGGUCGGUCGGGAUGUACUGGCUUCCGACGCCGGUCACUUCGAUUGUCGUCCGGUCCGCCCGUUCGACGUGCACGAUGUCGGC